GCCCGGUUAGCUCAAUCGGUAGAGCGUGAGACUCUUAAUCUCAAGGUUGCGGGUAAGUCUACUUCGCCAUGUACCACUGCCCACCUAGAUGUUAACAACUUUCAUAGGUUCGACCCCCGCAUCGGGCU